AUUAUUUCCUGGCUUUUUUCUGUGAAGAACCCAGACAGGGUUAUUUGGUUAUUAUCUAUUUAAUUAAUUGUGUUAUUAUUAUUCAUUAUUAUAUGAUAUUAUAUUAUGUUAUAAUUAUUUUUAUUUUAUUUUGUUCCAAGAAGAAUUCAGAAAGGGUUAUUUAAUUAUGGCUUUCUGAAAAACAAUAUUUUUUUUACAUUUAGGCACUGCUGCAAUCGUCACACUUUUUCUGUUACAAACUGACCCGGCCCCUCUUCAGAGAAGGGAAAAGUCAUGUGGCCUUCACAGGAAAAGGUUUGGGGACCCCUGCUUUAGAGUGUUUGUCAUCUGCCCUUCCAUUUGCUUUUCUUCAUGUGCAGUGCUCCCCCUCCAUGUUUGAUCAAACUGCACUGAUAAUUUGAAAUUGUUUUAAAAUGCAUUAAUCGCAAAAAUCAGAGGACUAGAUCACAUUUCCCCCUGUUAUUUCACCACUUUAACUUUGGUCUAACCUAAUAUAGGAAUACAGAUAGAAAGAGUGCAGAGAUCACACUCGACGCCAUAACAACCUGGUGUGUUUAAGGCUGAAGCAAAUGGUCAAAAGUCCACACAUACCUCAGUCUCAGCAAUUACAGGUCAACCAAAGCAGUAUUCUCUAAUGCAGUGGACUUGCAAGUACUGCACAUUUUCUGCUGAAAAGAGCCUACUUGCUUAAGCAUUACCGCUUAAAACAUGGAUACCACACUCGGACAUCCCAACUCCCAUGUCUUCAUAAGGACUGCCUCUGCACAUUUAAAUCUUUUAAUGCACUCAAAGUACACCUAUCGACAUGGCACUCUCAAAAAGAUGCAGGCAAAAGUGGAGAAACUGCAUUUGACCGUCAGUUGUGCAACUUUGUGGAGCCCUGCUCAGAAGCAGACUUCUUUACCCAUUUGUCUCAAAUAUUUUUUCACAUUCAAACCUUUUUUUCUACAAUUGUUUUUUUUUUUUGUUUUUUUUAAUUGAAGUGAUUUUAUUUUGAAAAUAUACAUUUUUUGUUUGAAGCAACUUAUUUUUGGAUUGAAUAAUAAAGACACAAAUGUCCUAGCCAAAAUGUGGUCCAA